rnacentral:rRNA from 1 species
AGCGCGGGUGCGAGUCGGAGGGUGCAAGCCCGUGGGCGAAGUGAAAGCGAGUUUAAAAACGAGCAGUUUGGGGCGGCAUAAGAUCGUUGAUCUUAAGACCGACCCAGAGCAGUUGCGCUGGGACCCGAAAGAUGGUGAACUAUGCCGGAGUAGGGCAAAGCCAGAGGAAACUCUGGUGGAGGCUCGUAGCGGUGCUGACGUGCAAAUCGCUCGUCGAACUUGGGUAUAGGGGCGAAAGACUAAUCGAACCAUCUAGUAGCUGGUUCCCUCCGAAGUUUCUCUCAGGAUAGCGGGCCGACAAGUUGUUUUGUGCGGUAAAGCGAAUGAUUAGCGCAUUCGGGGGCGUUUAGCCUUCGGGCGAUUCUCAAACUUUCAAUGCGCAAGGGUGCCGCUGCUUAAUUGAGCGGUACCGGUAAAAACGUCGGCCCUGUGGGCCACUUUUGGUAAGCAGAACUGGCGAUACGGGAUGAACCGUAAGCAAGGUUAAGGCGCCAAACUGCCCGCUUAUAGACCCCACAAAAGGUGUUGAUUCAUCGAGACAGCAGGACGGUGGCCAUGGAAGUCGGAAUCCGCCAAGGAGUGUGUAACAACUCACCUGCCGAAUGAAUUAGCCCUGAAAAUGGAUGGCGCUGAAGCGGGCGGCCGACACCUUGCCGUCUGAACAAGAAUUUCAGAUGAGUAGGAGGGCGUGGCGGCCGUGUCGAAGCAUGCGUGCAGACGCUUGUGAAACGGCCGCUAGUGCAGAUCUUGGUGGUAGUAGCAAGUAUUCAAGCGAGAUCCUUGAAGGGCGAAGUGGGGAAGGGUUUCACGCGAACAUUGAUUGGGCGUGACUGAGUCGUUCCUAAGCCGAGUGGCAAUUGCUAAUUAACGGCGAAAGGGAAGCGGGUUGACAUUCCCGCACACGGAUGUGGAGGCGGCGACGCAUUAUUGGGGCGAACACGCUGGCGAUGGCGCUGGGCAGAGUUGUCUUUUCUGUUUGACCGCUUGCGCACGCAGUGUGGAAUCCUCUUAUAGGGAGAAACACGCGUGUACGGGCAGAGCGCUGGGGCUUUUCCAGCGUCCAGCUCGCCAUCGACGGCCCUUGAAACUUUGCCUGCUG